ACGUUGCCCUCGGUACAUUUAACACCAAGCCCACAGAGGAACAACAAUGGCUUCAGCAAGGCCAUACCACAUCUAAACAUUGCUAGAUUUCUCUCUGGCCAGUUUAGCCGCGCACGACCAGCAAAAGUCAGACAAUUGAAGGUUUUAUAUUUUCCAUCGUGCUCAGCAGUCAGAACUCGGUGGGGCUGCGAGGGGUCAGACAUAUGUAAGGGCUAAAAAGCACACCCGUGGUGCAGACUGCUCACACGUCUGCCGCUGUGCAAUAGCAAAGCAUGUGAGCUCGGUGUAAGAAGGUAGCUAUGGUGCUUCGGUGAGGACUGUUACUGGUUGAGGUUUCCCAAGGGGACGCUACUGAGAAGCUGGCUCACCAAGUCCCGGCCCAGACUGCUGUUGCUCAUCGCGGGGUUGAAAAGGCCUCAGGUGACCCUAAUGCGGAGGAAAAGGAUGAAGCGCACAAAAGUAGCAAAGGCCACGUAAGCGAACCUGUUAUCGAAUGCCGCAUUUCACUUGAGGUCUUGGCAAAGAGGAUCUCCCCACCGGAGUUGGAUAUGAAAGACGAAGACAUGGAAGAACUACGUUUCCAAUCUUUGUCGAAGCAACGAACUAAAAGCCAAAGCAAACAGAGAGGUUUACCGUCUUUUGUGAAAACAAGGGAUCUGCAACAGAGAUCUAGACCCCCUGAUUAAAUCGAGAUCUUCUCCUACACACCCAUUUGUAUAUCUCUUCAAAUCCAAAUGUGUUAUGGUUCAUUAUAGUACAAUGAGUGUGACUUGUACAUUAUUUACAUCCAGUGGCAUACAUUUAGUUUAGCAGAACUAUCGCUGUGUUCUUAGGAUAGAUCUUUUCCAGUCAGAGAAUGAUUUGUUGUUUAAGCAAAAGCAAAGCAAAAUUGUGUUUGAGUGGGUGAAUAAGAAAAUAGUGCCUCUCCAUGGCUAGCAGGUGCAAAUAUCUAAACCACAGUAGGUACACGCGAUUAAUGUAACUCUGGGCCAAUGAAAGAGUCGCCAUUAACAAUCUGACCCAUCAUUUUUCCUUAUUUUACAAGACAGAAAAUCUGUUUGGCAAUUAACAUUUUGUUAAUUUUUUUACUACAUUAUCUAAUAUUGCCUAUUGUAUUUAGGUGA